rnacentral:rRNA from 1 species
UGGGGAAUAUUGGACAAUGGGCGAAAGCCUGAUCCAGCCAUGCCGCGUGUGUGAAGAAGGUCUUCGGAUUGUAAAGCACUUUAAGUUGGGAGGAAGGGCAGUAAGCGAAUACCUUGCUGUUUUGACGUUACCGACAGAAUAAGCACCGGCUAACUCUGUGCCAGCAGCCGCGGUAAUACAGAGGGUGCGAGCGUUAAUCGGAUUUACUGGGCGUAAAGCGUGCGUAGGCGGCUAAUUGAGUCGGAUGUGAAAUCCCCGAGCUUAACUUGGGAGUUGCAUUCGAUACUGGUUAGCUAGAGUGUGGGAGAAGAUGGUAGAAUUCUAGGUGUAGCGGUGAAAUGCGUAGAGAUCUGGAGGAAUACCGAUGGCGGAGGCAGCCAUCUGGCCUAUCACUGACGCUGAGGUACGAAAGCAUGGGGAGCAAACAGG